rnacentral:rRNA from 1 species
AUUGAACGCUGGCGGCAGGUUUAACACAUGCAAGUCGAACGAGUGGCGGACGGGUGAGUAAUGUCUGGUAAAUUCCCUGAUGGAGGGGGAUAACCACUGGAAACGGUAGCUAAUACCGCAUACCAUCGGAUGUGCCCAGAUGGGAUUAGAUAGGAGGUGGGGUAAUGGCUCACCUAGGCGACGAUCCCUAGCUGGUCUGAGAGGAUGAAAAGCCACACUAGGACUGAGACACGGUCCAGAAUCCUACGGGAGGCAGCAGUGGGGAAUAUUGCACAAUGGGCGCAAGUCUGGUGCAGCCAUGCCGCGUGUAUGAAGAAGGCCUUCGGGUUGUAAAGUACUUUCGGCGAGGAGGCGUUACCCACAGAAGAAGCACCGGCUAACUCCGUGCCAGCAGCCGCGGUAAUAC